UACGAGAGGCGCAAACGUUAUUCAGAAUUACUGGGCUUAAAGAGUUCGUAGGCGGCGCAGAAAGUAGGGUGUGAAAGCCCUCGGCUUAACCGAGGAAUUGCGCUCUAAACUACUGUGCUUGAGGAACCUAGAGGUGAGCAGAACUGAUGGUGGAGCGGUGAAAUGCGUUGAUAUCAUCAGGAAUACCGGAGGCGAAGGCGGCUCACUGGGGGUUUUCCGACGCUGAGGAACGAAAGCCAGGGGAGCGAACGGG
rnacentral:rRNA from 1 species